rnacentral:rRNA from 1 species
UGAGUGCGAGCUGCUACGGCAGCGAAGUUGGUGACGUCAUGCUUCCAAGAAAAGCCCUAUACCCGUUAAGGCAUCAUGGCCUGUACCCGAAACCGACACAGGUGGGGUGGUAGAGAAUACCGAGGGGCGCGAGGUAACUCUCUCUAAGGAACUCGGCAAAAUGGCCCCGUAACUUUGGGAGAAGGGGUGCCACCGCAAGGUGGUCGCAGUGAAGAGGCCCAGGCGACUGUUUACCAAAAACACAGGUCUCCGCUAAGUCGCAAGACGAUGUAUGGGGGCUGACGCCUGCCCAGUGCCGGAAGGUUAAGGAAGCUGGUCAGCGCAAGCGAAGCUAGCGACUGAAGCCCCGGUGAACGGCGGCCGUAACUAUAACGGUCCUAAGGUAGCGAAAUUCCUUGUCGGGUAAGUUCCGACCCGCACGAAAGGCGUAACGAUCUGGGCGCUGUCUCGGAGAGAGGCUCGGCGAAAUAGAAUUGUCUGUGAAGAUGCGGACUACGUGCACCCGGACAGAAAGACCCUAUGAAGCUUUACUGUAGCUUGGUAUUGUGCCCGGGCUCGCAAUGCGCAGGAUAGGUGGGAGGCUUUGAUCAUCGGCUAGCGGGUCGAUAUGAGCCAACGGUGAGAUACCACUCUUUGCGAGCUAGGGUUCUAACGGCCACCCGUCAUCCGGGGGCCGGACAGUACCUGGUGGGCAGUUUGACUGGGGCGGUCGCCUCCUAAAAGGUAACGGAGGCGCGCAAAGGUUUGCUCAGGCUGGUUGGAAAUCAGCCGACGAGUGUAAAAGCAGAAGCAAGCUUGACUGUGAGACCAACAAGUCGAACAGGGAGGAAGCUCGGCUUUAGUGAUCCGACGGUUCUGAGUGGAAGGGCCGUCGCUCAACGGAUAAAAGUUACUUUAAGGAUAACAGGCUGAUCUCCCCCAAGAGUUCACAUCGACGGGGAGGUUUGGCACCUCGAUGUCGGCUCAUCGCAACCUGGGGCUGAAGUCGGUCCCAAGGGUUGGGCUGUUCGCCCAUUAAAGCGGUACGCGAGCUGGGUUCAGAACGUCGUGAGACAGUUCGGUCCAUAUCCGGUGCACGCGCAGGAAUAUUGAGAGGAUUUCUCCCUAGUACGAGAGGACCGGGAGGAACGCACCUCUGGUGUACCAGUUAUCGUGCCAACGGUAAACGCUGGGUAGCCAUGUGCGGAGUGGAUAACCGCUGAAAGCAUCUAAGUGGGAAGCCCACCUCAAGAUGAGUAUUCCCAUGGCUUAAGCCAGUAAGGUCACGGGAAGAACACCCGUUGAUAGGCUCUAUGUGGAAGCGCAGUAAUGCGUGUAGCAGAGGAGUACUAAUAGACC